AGACGUUUGACAUCGAUAAAUGCGUGAGAGUGCUCGCGAAGUGCGGAGGUAUCAGGCUGUCGCUCGCUCGUCGGCUUGUCGUAGUCGUCGUCGUCGUCGUCGGGGGCUCGUAGGCUCGUCGUCGUCGUGAAUGUUGUGAAACGAAGGUGAAGAAAGAAGAACCGACGAAGUCAGACUGAAAGCUAGAGGAACGGGAACAGAGAGGGGAGAGACAGAGAGACAGACACAAGGAACGAGAAGGGAAGAAGGUAGUAGACUCAGAGGAGGAAGAAGAAGAAGAAAGAAGAAGAAGAAGAAGAAGAAGAAGAAGGGUAACAACACACAAGUGGAAACGUCGUCGCAGAGACAAAAGGGGAGAGGAGACGAGAAGUGGAGACACGGACCACACACAUAAACAGACGGCUGGCGCGCGCGGUCUCGUACACGUACACGUAAACGUACACACGCACACGCAGAGACAAAGAGACGGACACCGGAACACGAACACGAGUGGAAACCGGCGAAAGGAGAGAAGAAGAAGAAGAAGCUCGUGCUCGUAAGGGACGUACGCGAAACGAAAUACAAACGUGAAAGUUGUUGAACUUCUCUUGGUGAAACAGGCGGCAGAGAGGAAGGAAAAAAGGAGACGUGUAUCGAGAAACAAGAGCGAGGAAUCGAGAGGAAAAGAAAGAAAGAAAGAAACAAACAAACAAACAAA